rnacentral:rRNA from 1 species
UAGNGAAUCUUCGGCAAUGGGGGCAACCCUGACCGAGCAACGCCGCGUGAGUGAAGAAGGUUUUCGGAUCGUAAAGCUCUGUUGUAAGAGAAGAACGAGUGCGAGAGUGGAAAGUUCACACUGUGACGGUAACUUACCAGAAAGGGACGGCUAACUACGUGCCAGCAGCCGCGGUAAUACGUAGGUCCCGAGCGUUAUCCGGAUUUAUUGGGCGUAAAGCGAGCGCAGGCGGUUAGAUAAGUCUGAAGUUAAAGGCUGUGGCUUAACCAUAGUACGCUUUGGAAACUGUUUAACUUGAGUGCAGAAGGGGAGAGUGGAAUUCCAUGUGUAGCGGUGAAAUGCGUAGAUAUAUGGAGGAACACCGGUGGCGAAAGCGGCUCUCUGGUCUGUAACUGACGCUGAGGCUCGAAAGCGUGGGGAGCAAACAGGAUUAGAUACCCUGGUAGUCCACGCCGUAAACGAUGAGUGCUAGGUGUUGGGUCCUUUCCGGGACUCAGUGCCGCAGCUAACGCAUUAAGCACUCCGCCUGGGGAGUACGACCGCAAGGUUG